CCAUUUUUACCCAAACAUAAUUUUUUAAUCACCCUCCGUCGCCUUCCCUCCCUUCUCCUCCCAUUUUCACUCUAUCAAACUGAGUCUUAAAACACAUUCAAUUAACCCUAACCCUAACCCUUUUCUCACGCAAAUCUUCAUUCAUGGCUUCUCGCUAGCUCUUAUCCUCCCUCUUCCGUUCCUCCACCCGUUGCUCUGCUCUAAAACCCUCAAUCGCAAACCCUAGAUCGCGCACGCCGUCUCUAUCAUCUCGUCCUUUACCGGCCGGUUUUCUCUUGAACAGCGUCGUGGACUACGCCACCUCCUCCGCCGCCGCUACAGAUCCGGCGCCGCCGUCGAAGUGGAUGGGACCGUUGGCAAGAUAACUGAUCAGUUCACGGUGCUGGUGCGAUCGCCCAGGUGUUUCAGGUGAUCGCUUGAGGUUUUGAAUAAUUCUAUUCGACUGGUUCUUGAAGUGGUGCAGCAUUUGGGAGAAAACAUGUUGAGGAAGAUUGCUAUGGACUGUUCAGAGUGGCUUAUUAGAGGACAAACGGUCCUCAAUACUGGUUCUCCUAUCAGUAGGAAAUAAUGAAUUUCACUUUUAAAGAUAUAGAUUUGAUUUGAAGCAGCAUUGAUGGGACACGAUAACUUCUUCCCAAGUUUACUGGUAUGUAUAAGGAGCCUUAAGGCCCUCACGGAAGGACAAAAGAUUUCAGAAAUAUUUUCUGAUGAAAAAAGAAAGAAACCGAUCACUUUCUUCCUGUUCACUGAGAAGUUCCAGCCUUUGUUGAGCAGGCAACUGAACAACAUAUUCUUGUCACUGGAAUCAAGGUGACUUUCACCUAAAGUUUGCGCAAUAAAUGCAUUUAAAUGACAUUUACAUCGUGUAUUAUGCAUUUCUAUGGAUUUGUUAUGUCUUUAUUUUUUGGAAUAAGUGAUUUGUUCUGUCACAUGAAGUGUGAAGAUCUCUUUUAAUUUUUCUUAUCUUUUAGUAUGUCCAUUUAAACAGUUACCACUAAUAACAAUUAUAACAAAGCCUUGCUUCAACUACCUAGAGUCGGCGUCAAUAAUCAUAUUGCUCCAUCUAAGGUUUUAUGAAUCAUAUUGCUCCAACUACUUGGGGUAAAAUCAUGUUAAUUGAUUCUCUCUCUCUCUGUCUCUCUCUUUCUGUCUCUCUCCCCCCAGUGAUUGCUACUAUAACCAUCUCACGAACGUGUUCAUACACUAAUUCUAUCAUUUCUUUCUCACACAGUCAUAUCAUUUUUGCCAUGCUCACUUCGUGCAUAUGUUGUUUCUCAAUUGCAUACAGCAUACAUGAUCUCCCAUCAAGAAUGACUGGUAUAGUAGUUAUUUUAAAGGACCUUCCCUUUCAAUUUUUAGAGAGAUGUACCAAUCACGCAAUAUACUGAACGUAUUCCUCUAUUUGGUCCAUCUUACUUGAUUCUAUGAUUAACAUUUAAUCCAAUUUCUCCUUCAUUGUAAAUAGUGGAAAUGUUCAAGCUUUGGUUUCUUUUGAGUCUCAUCACUACUUGCCUAUUUAUAUACAUAGAUUUGCUAAAGUUACAAUUCAUAUAUUAAGUUUUAUUCCUACUUAUCUUAAUUCCUUUUAAUUCUAGAGCUUUCCCCCAAACCUUCAAUUUAUUACUUAGCCCUUCUCUAGCUUCAUCAUUUAAACAAUACAUGAACAAAUUUACUUUUCAAAAAAAAAAAAAAAAAAAAAAAAAAAAAAAAAGCAAUAUAUGAACAAAUAUCAUGUACCAUGAAAUCUCAUCAUGAAUGUGUUCCAUUAGUUUAUCAUGGUAAUCGUUGAGGUAAGUCCACAGUAAUUAAAAAUUCCCUUAUUUUUCCAUAGUCGUUCUAAUUGUGGUUACGAUUUCACUGUACAUGUCCAUUACAUAUUAACACAAAGUACAAAAUUUUUGUUAAUUUGCAUACCAUUUAACAUGUAAAAGAUGACUUUAGGUUACCACCAGUCCACCAUAAGUCCCCUAUGAGUGUGUAUCAGCCUGAUUACAUUCUAUACAAUGACUGCAUCUUCUGCGCCCUACAAUUCUUGUAUAGUCUGCAUUUGCUAGAUGGUGGAUCUACUUGCUCCAUAUCAAAGAGGUGGAAAGAUUGGGCUCUUUGUUGGUGCUGGGGUGGGAAAGACGGCACUUAUUAUGGAACAUGUUAACAAUGUUGCGAAAGCUCAUGGUUUGUUUACGAUUCUUUUUUUGACAACCUUCUGUCUAAAAUAUUUGCUUAUUUUCUCAAUGUUUAUUUCCUUUUCAAAUCAGGUGGCUUUUCUAUCUUUGCUGGUGUUGGUGAACGUACUUGAGAGGGCAAUGAUUUGUAUAGGAAAAUGUUUGAGAUUUGGUGUUAUUAAACUUGGAGACAACCAGGUCUUUCCGUUGCAAUUUUGACAUUUGCAAUGAGUCUGUUCUUUUGUGGUUUUUGCUGUUUUUUGAGUAACAAAAAUCUAAAAAAUUUAUUUUGGUUCUACUUGGAACUGUUUUCUAGAAACAGUUUUUCCAAAACUGAGUUAUGAUAGUUGUGGUUUUUAGAGAACAGCUGAGAGUUGUUUUGGGAACAAGGAGCUUGCCCAUUUGAAAACACGGAGAACUAUCCGUCAUUAAAAAGAUACGGAGAAGACCAUGUCGUUUAUAACACUUCUCCUUCUUACGCUUAUUUGGCAGCUAUCUAUCUAUUUUAAUCCCACAGAUGAAGAGCCCUCUUUUUCUCUGCAAUAUGAUCAGAUCUCAAUAAAUUUGUUCAGAUCUCGUUUCAGUUGCACUUUCUCUCUAGUCUUGGACUCACUAUCGACUUGAUCUCUCCCUGUUCAGGAAAUGUUAUGCUAUGUCUAUGAAGAGGAUGGGGUCAUUGUUGCUGCGAACCCUAAUAUAAAGGUUGCAAACGCAAGGUGUUACAGAGGCUUUGGUUCUCAAAGAAGGUCUGAAAUUUCUUCAUAAUUGGGGGUACCCAAAGGUAGUAGUGGAAGGAGAUGACCAAUCUGUUACGAGUUUGCAUUGGCUGACAGUUUUAUGGCUAGCGGCAUUAGAAGACGGCUCUGCUUUGUCUGCAACAUGGAGUAGACUUCCAACUUAAAUGUACUUCUAAAGCUCACAAUACAAUGGCACAAAAGUCUUGUGAUUCUGAUAUUGAUGUAUGGCCCUUCUUGGCUGGUGAUUGCAAUUAACUCUGACUGUAGUAUGGCUUCUAUUUUUGAAUAAUAAUACUAGUAUUGAUGUA